AUUGAACGCUGGCGGCAUGCUUUACACAUGCAAAUCGAACGGCAGCGCGGGCUUCGGCCUGGCGGCGAGUGGCGAACGGGUGAGUAAUGCAUCGGAACGUGCCCAGUAGUGGGGGAUAGCCCGGCGAAAGCCGGAUUAAUACCGCAUACGACCUGAGGGUGAAAGCGGGGGACCGAAAGGCCUCGCGCUAUUGGAGCGGCCGAUGUCGGAUUAGCUAGUUGGUGGGGUAAAGGCUUACCAAGGCGACGAUCCGUAGCCGGUCUGAGAGGACGACCAGCCACACUGGGACUGAGACACGGCCCAGACUCCUACGGGAGGCAGCAGUGGGGAAUUUUGGACAAUGGGGGCAACCCUGAUCCAGCCAUGCCGCGUGCGGGAAGAAGGCCUUCGGGUUGUAAACCGCUUUUGUUCGGGAAGAAAUCCUCUGGGCUAAUACCCCGGGGGGAUGACGGUACCGGAAGAAUAAGCACCGGCUAACUACGUG
rnacentral:rRNA from 1 species